GAAAUGCGAUAAUUAAUGUGAACUGCAGAAUUCAGUGAAUCAUCGAGUCUUUGAACGCACAUUGCGCCCCCUGGUAUUCCGGGGGCAUGCCUGUCCGAGCGUCAUUGCUGCCCUCAAGCACGGCUUGUGUGUUGGGCUUCCGUCCCUGGCAACGGGGACGGGCCCAAAAGGCAGUGGCGGCACCAUGUCUGGUCCUCGAGCGUAUGGGGCUUUGUCACCCGCUCCCGUAGGUCCAGCUGGCAGCUAGCCUCGCAACCAAUCUUUUUAACCAGGUUGACCUCGGAUCAGGUAGGGAUACCCGCUGAACUUAAGC
rnacentral:misc_RNA from 1 species